GAUGAACGCUGGCGGCGUGCCUAAUACAUGCAAGUCGAGCGAACAGAUAAGGAGCUUGCUCCUUUGACGUUAGCGGCGGACGGGUGAGUAACACGUGGGUAACCUACCUAUAAGACUGGGAUAACUUCGGGAAACCGGAGCUAAUACCGGAUAAUAUUUCGAACCGCAUGGUUCGAUAGUGAAAGAUGGUUUUGCUAUCACUUAUAGAUGGACCCGCGCCGUAUUAGCUAGUUGGUAAGGUAACGGCUUACCAAGGCGACGAUACGUAGCCGACCUGAGAGGGGGAUCGGCCACACUGGAACAGAGACCCGGUCCAGACACCUACGGGAGGCAGCAGUAGGGAAUCUGCCGCAAAGGGCGAAAGCUUGACGGAGCAACGCCGCGUGAGUGAUGAAGGUCUUCGGAUCGUAAAACUCUGUUAUGAGGGAAGAACAAAUGUGUAAGUAACUGUGCACGUCUUGACGGUACCUAAUCAGAAAGCCACGGCUAACUACGUG
rnacentral:rRNA from 1 species